rnacentral:rRNA from 1 species
CCCGACCUUCGGGCGGGUCAUAGAGUGGCGAACGGGUGAGUAACACGUGACCAACCUGCCCCGCACCCCGGGACAACCGCCGGAAACGGCGGCUAAUACCGGAUACUCCGGGCCUCGCGCAUGCGCGGCCCGGGAAAGCCCAGACGGUGCGGGAUGGGGUCGCGGCCCAUUAGGUAGUAGGCGGGGCAACGGCCCACCUAGCCUGCGAUGGGUAGCCGGCCUGAGAGGGCGAUCGGCCACAUUGGGACUGAGAUACGGCCCAGACUCCUACGGAAGGCAGCAG